rnacentral:lncRNA from 1 species
AAUUAAUUUUCCAGGCAUUGAUGAGCACCAUACAUAUGUAACCGAUGUGAAAUGGCUAGCUAGUUAGCGGGGCGCGCACUAAUAGCGUUUCAAUCGGUGAUGUCACUCGCUCUGAGACCUUGAAGUAAUUGUUACCCUUGCUCUGCAAGGGUCGCGGCUUUUGUGGAGCGAUGGGUAACGAUGCGUCGAGGGUGGCUGUUGUCUAUGUGUGCAGAGGAUCUCUGGUUCGAGCCCAGACUCUCAGCGCUCUCCGAGUGCACCGGUUUGAGUGUAUCAAGAACUACAACGCUACUGGGUUUUUCAUGCUCAACAGUUUCCCGUAUUUAUCAAGAAUGGUCCACCACCCAAACAACAUCCAGCCAACUUGACACAACUGGGAGAAGCAUUGGAGUCAACAUGGGCCAGCGUCCCUAUGGAAUGCUUUCAACACCUUGUUGAGUCCAUGCCUCAAAGAAUUUAGGCUGUUCUGAGGGCAAAAGGGGGUGCAACAUUAUAUUUGGAAGGUGUUCCUAAUGGUUUGUACAUUCUGUGUAUACUAUUGUGGAUUAUAUUGAUGCCACAAUAAUAAAGACAAAGAAAAACAUUUUUCCAAGUUAUGGAUAAGUAAGUCAUUGUCACUUGCCACAUAAACAUUUUUCACAACAGCUUUUUCACUUUAGUAUGUGGCCCAUGUGCAUCUAUACAUUUUUUUGU